GAUGAACGCUGGCGGCGUGCCUAAUACAUGCAAGUCGAGCGAACAGACGAGGAGCUUGCUCCUCUGACGUUAGCGGCGGACGGGUGAGUAACACGUGGAUAACCUACCUAUAAGACUGGGAUAACUUCGGGAAACCGGAGCUAAUACCGGAUAAUAUAUUGAACCGCAUGGUUCAAUAGUGAAAGACGGUUUUGCUGUCACUUAUAGAUGGAUCCGCGCCGCAUUAGCUAGUUGGUAAGGUAACGGCUUACCAAGGCAACGAUGCGUAGCCGACCUGAGAGGGUGAUCGGCCACACUGGAACUGAGACACGUUCCAGACUCCUACUGGAGGCAGCAGUAGGGAAUCUUCCGCUAUGGGCGAAAGCCUGACGGAGCAACGCCGCGUGAGUGAUGAAGGUCUUCGGAUCGUAAAACUCUGUUAUUAGGGAAGAACAAAUGUGUAAGUAACUAUGCACGUCUUGACGGUACCUAAUCAGAAAGCCACGGCUAACUACGUG
rnacentral:rRNA from 1 species